rnacentral:rRNA from 1 species
CCCUACGGGGUGCAGCAGGCGCGAAACCUCUACAAUGCACGAAAGUGUGAUAGGGGAAUCCCAAGUGCUCAUGUUAAACAUGGGCUUUUGUUAAGUGUGGGUAGCUUAGCGAAUAAGUGAUGGGAAAGACCGGUGCCAGCCGCCGCGGUAAUACCGGCGUCACAAGUGGCAACCGUGUAUUUGGUCUAAAGCGUCCGUAGCAGGUCUUGCAAAUCUUUUGUGAAAGGUCUGAGCUUAACUCAGACAAUGGCAGGAGACACUACAAGACUCGGGACCGGGAGGAGUUAGAGGUAUGCAUGAGGGACUGGUGAAAUGGGAUAAUCUCAUGCAGACCACCGAUGGCGAAGGCAUCUAACCAGAACGGAUCCGACUGUGAGGGACGAAAGCUAGGGGAGCGAACCGGAUUAGAUACCCGAGUAGUCCUAGCCGUAAACGCUGUGAGCAAGGUGUUGCAUAUUCCACGUGAAUAUGCAGUGUCGAAACGAAGGUGAUGAGCUCACCACCUGGGAAGUAUGGUCGCAAGACUGAAACUUAAAGGAAUUGGCGGGGGAGCAC